rnacentral:misc_RNA from 1 species
CUGUAAGCUAGCUUUCUCUCUCCUGUAAUUUUUGUUAUAUUGAAAUAUCUUGUGGCAAAAAGAUUUGUAUUCUUGUUUAAUGCCUUGUUUCAAUGAAAUUCUUGAAACCCUUGUUGCUUAUUCUUUGAUUUCGGUCGCCAGUAGAAAGAAUAUGUGAAUUUCAUGUUAUAACUCGUUGAUUUUUUUGUUGCCUAUCAAUUUAUGAUGAUUAUCCUUUUCGCCAUGUUUUCUGUUUCUCGAUAAUCUGUGAAGACCAUCCUGUUUGUAGUGAUUUGGCUCUAAUUUUAUUUUCAGAUGAAUUUUUUGUCCUUAGUGGUUAGUGUUUAAAACCCAUUUGCCUUCUCGGUGAUUAGGCU